ensembl:lncRNA
GAACACCACACACAUAUGUCAAAGCUAAUCUAGAAAGAAGGAGGACUAAGAGAGGCAUUUUACUACUUAACAAGAGUGAUUCUUCAAUUUUUGGGGGAAAGGGAGGAACCAUCGAUUGUCCUGUCCUGAAGGGAGUUCCUCUUAGGUCUGGUCAGACCUUCGUAUGAAGGAUCAUUUGUUGAACUCAGUCACUGUGCUGUGAAAAAAGCCAACAUUUCCAAUGAAGAGACCACAUGGAGAAACAUGUAGAGAGGAACCAAGGCCCCUAGCUGAUAGCCAGCAUUAGCCAUCAAGCAUGUGAAUGAAUGAACCUUCAGAUGAUUCCUGCUCUCUGUCAUUGAGUCUUCCACUUGUGACCCCAGACAUGGUAGAGGAGAUACAAGCCAUCUUCACCGUGCCUGUUUGGAUUCCUGAGUCACAGAAGUUGUGAAAGAUAAGUGAUUAUUGUUGCUUUAAGUCACUAUGUUUUGUGGUAAUUUGUUACUCAGUGAUAGAUAAUGAAUACACUUGUACUUGGUAGACUGGAGCAGUGACUUGUAAUGUAUAUAUUUUUAAAUCAUAGAUUCAUUAGAAAAUUUGAUGAAAACUGAAGUGACCUCCAUGACCCCCACAUUCUGGUGUUCAUACCCAUGUAUAAUCUCCUUCUCUUAGGUGUGGGCAGGACAUUUGGCUUGCUUAUAACCAAUAGAAUAUGGCAAAGGCUUUGAGCUGUCACUUCAGUGAUUAUGUUAGCUUAUAUAAGACUUUCUCUUGCUAGCAGACUCACUCUAGCGUCUUGCUUUCCUGGUUUGUUUUGAUGAACCAAGCUGCCAUGAAUCUUACAACCACAAGGAAAUGAAUUCUGCCAACACCCAGAGUAAACUUGUAAGCAGACCCCAGUUGAGCCUGAAGAUGAGAACAGAGGCCUAGCUCACACCUUGAUGGCAACGUCACAGAGAACAUUGCUAAGCCAUGCAUAGACUUACUGACCCACCUCAACCAACUGUGAGAUAAUAAAUGCCCUGACUAAUCCACUGCCUUAUAGGAUUAUUGGGAGGACCAAUGAAACUUUUGCACAUAAAGCCUUUGGAAUAGUGCAGACACAGAGAAUCAUACAGGAUGAAUCCGAAAGAGAAGACAACAUAGAUAGGAAUGAGAACCUGUUAAGAGGCCAUUGCUACAGUUCAAACAAGAGGACUGGAGAUAAAAAAUCAGAAAAAGAAGAGGUUUCUCUAUGUUUACCAGGCUGGUCUCAAGCUCCUGUCCUCAAGUGA